rnacentral:rRNA from 1 species
AAUAUUGGACAAUGGGCGAAAGCCUGAUCCAGCCAUGCCGCGUGUGUGAAGAAGGUCUUCGGAUUGUAAAGCACUUCUUGUUGGGAGGAAGGGCAGUAAGUUACUACCUUGCUGUUUUGACGUUACCGAUUGUAGAAGCACCGGCUAACUUCAAGCUAGCAGCCGCGGUAAUACGAAGGGUGCAAGCGUUAAUCGGAAUUAAUGGUCGUAAAGCGCGCGUAGGUGGUUCGUUAAGUUGGAAGUGAAAGCCCCGGGCUUAACCUGGGAAUUGCUUUCAAAACUGACGAGCUAGAGUACGGUAGAGGGUAGUGGAAUUUCCUGUGUAGCGGUGAAAUGCGUAGAUAUAGGAAGGAACAUCAGUGGCGAAGGCGACUACCUGGACUGAUACUGACACUGAGGUGCGAAAGCGUGGGGAGCAAAC